UGGGGAAUAUUGCACAAUGGGCGCAAGCCUGAUGCAGCAACGCCGCGUGAGCGAGGAAGGCCUUCGGUCGUAAAGCUCUGUCCUAGGGGAAGAAGAAGUGACGGUACCCAAGGAGGAAGCCCCGGCUAACUACGUGCCAGCAGCCGCGGUAAUACGUAGGGGCGAGCGUUAUCCGGAAUUAUUGGGCGUAAAGAGUACGUAGGUGGUUUUGUAAGCGCGGGGUGAAAGGCAGUGGUUUAACCAUUGUUAGCCUUGCGAACUGCAAGACUUGAGUGCAGGAGAGGGAAGCGGAAUUCCUAGUGUAGCGGUGAAAUGCGUAGAUAUUAGGAGGAACACCAGUGGCGAAGGCGGCUUUCUGGACUGUAACUGACACUGAGGUACGAAAGCGUGGGGAGCAAACAGGAUUAGAUACC
rnacentral:rRNA from 1 species